UACGAAGGGGACUAGCGUUGUUCGGAAUUACUGGGCGUAAAGCGCACGUAGGCGGAUUUGUAAGUCAGGGGUGAAAUCCCGGGGCUCAACCUCGGAACUGCCUUUGAUACUGCAAAUCUCGAGUCCGAUAGAGGUGGGUGGAAUUCCUAGUGUAGAGGUGAAAUUCGUAGAUAUUCGGAAGAACACCAGUGGCGAAGGCGGCUCACUGGACCGGCAUUGACGCUGAGGUGCGAAAGCGUGGGGAGCAAACAGGGAUUAAGCAA
rnacentral:rRNA from 1 species